rnacentral:rRNA from 1 species
AGUGAACGCUGGCGGCAGGCCUAACACAUGCAAGUCGACCGGCAGCACAGAGGAGCUUGCUCCUUGGGUGGCGAGUGGCGGACGGGUGAGGAAUGCGUCGGAAUCUGCCUAUUUGUGGGGGAUAACGUAGGGAAACUUACGCUAAUACCGCAUACGACCUACGGGUGAAAGUGGUGGACCUUCGGGCCUCACGCAGAUAGAUGAGCCGACGCCGGAUGAGCUAGUGGGCGGGGUAAAGGCCCACCAAGGCGACGAUCCGUAGCUGGUCUGAGAGGAUGAUCAGCCACACUGGGACUGGGACACGGCCCAGACUCCUACGGGAGGCAGCAGUGGGGAAUAUUGGACAAUGGGCGCAAGCCUGAUACAGCCAUGCCGCGUGUGUGAAGAAGGCCUUCGGGUUGUAAAGCACUUUUGUCCGGAAAGAAAUCCAAUCGAUUAAUACUCGGUUGGGAUGACGGUACCGGAAGAAUAAGCACCGGCUAACUUCGUGCCAGCAGCCGCGGUAAGAC